GCCUAACACAUGCAAGUCGAACGGUAACAGGAAGCAGCUUGCUGCUUCGCUGACGAGUGGCGGACGGGUGAGUAAUGUCUGGGAAGCUGCCUGAUGGAGGGGGAUAACUACUGGAAACGGUAGCUAAUACCGCAUAAUGUCGCAAGACCAAAGAGGGGGACCUUCGGGCCUCUUGCCAUCGGAUGUGCCCAGAUGGGAUUAGCUUGUUGGUGGGGUAACGGCUCACCAAGGCGACGAUCCCUAGCUGGUCUGAGAGGAUGACCAGCCACACUGGAACUGAGACACGGUCCAGACUCCUACGGGAGGCAGCAGUGGGGAAUAUUGCACAAUGGGCGCAAGCCUGAUGCAGCCAUGCCGCGUGAAUGAAGAAGGCCUUCGGGUUGUAAAGUACUUUCAGCGGGGAGGAAGGGAGUAAAGUUAAUACCUUUGCUCAUUGACGUUACCCGCAGAAGAAGCACCGGCUAACUCCGUGCCAGCAGCCGCGGUAAUACGGAGGGUGCAAGCGUUAAUCGGAAUUACUGGGCGUAAAGCGCACGCAGGCGGUUUGUUAAGUCAGAUGUGAAAUCCCCGGGCUCAACCUGGGAACUGCAUCUGAUACUGGCAAGCUUGAGUCUCGUAGAGGGGGGUAGAAUUCCAGGUGUAGCGGUGAAAUGCGUAGAGAUCUGGAGGAAUACCGGUGGCGAAGGCGGCCCCCUGGACGAAGACUGACGCUCAGGUGCGAAAGCGUGGGGAGCAAACAGGAUUAGAUACCCUGGUAGUCCACGCCGUAAACGAUGUCGACUUGGAGGUUGUGCCCUUGAGGCGUGGCUUCCGGAGCUAACGCGUUAAGUCGACCGCCUGGGGAGUACGGCCGCAAGGUUAAAACUCAAAUGAAUUGACGGGGGCCCGCACAAGCGGUGGAGCAUGUGGUUUAAUUCGAUGCAACGCGAAGAACCUUACCUGGUCUUGACAUCCACGGAAGUUUUCAGAGAUGAGAAUGUGCCUUCGGGAACCGUGAGACAGGUGCUGCAUGGCUGUCGUCAGCUCGUGUUGUGAAAUGUUGGGUUAAGUCCCGCAACGAGCGCAACCCUUAUCCUUUGUUGCCAGCGGUCCGGCCGGGAACUCAAAGGAGACUGCCAGUGAUAAACUGGAGGAAGGUGGGGAUGACGUCAAGUCAUCAUGGCCCUUACGACCAGGGCUACACACGUGCUACAAUGGCGCAUACAAAGAGAAGCGACCUCGCGAGAGCAAGCGGACCUCAUAAAGUGCGUCGUAGUCCGGAUUGGAGUCUGCAACUCGACUCCAUGAAGUCGGAAUCGCUAGCAAUCGUGGAUCAGAAUGCCACGGUGAAUACGUUCCCGGGCCUUGUACACACCGCCCGUCACACCAUGGGAGUGGGUUGCAAAAGAAGUAGGUAGCUUAACCUUCGGGAGGGCGCUUACCACUUUGUGAUU
rnacentral:rRNA from 1 species